GACGGAGGGUGCGAGCGUUGUCCGGAAUCAUUGGGCGUAAAGGGCGCGUAGGUGGCCACUUCAAGCGUGCGGUGAAAGUCGGGGGCUCAACCCCUGAUCGGCCGUGCGAACUGGGGGGCUGGAGCACUGUAGAGGCUAAUGGAAUUCCGGGUGUAGCGGUGGAAUGCGUAGAGAUCCGGAAGAACACCGGUGGCGAAGGCGGUUAGCUGGGCAGUUGCUGACACUGAGGCGCGACAGCGUGGGGAGCAAACAGGG
rnacentral:rRNA from 1 species